CGGAUUCUAUAUUCAACAGCGAGUUCGCUAGACCUAGUGCACUUUGUAACUCUACAUCACAGUUAGAUCUCUUACCGAUGGGAAAGUAGAACUAGCAUACUGUCUCUCAAUAAGUAGGGACCAUCAUUGUGGUUUGACUCCAUUGAGAAGGAGUUCCCGAGUUUAUUUUGGCUAUUCCUCAUGUAGGGAGCCCUACUGAUUACAUUAUUCAUUCUUAGAAACCUACCAAGUGUAUGUAUUUGUUUGCAGCAUAGUAUUUUACAGUUCUUAUAGUUAUUGUUUUCAUGAAGGGGCUAUGAUGAUGUUCAUCAAUUACUGUACUGUCAUUUAAAUACUCUAUACAUGAUAUGAUUUAUGAUAGUUAUGGUUUUUAAAAAGGGUUUAUAACAUGUACUGUUAUAGGGUUAUGCUACAGUUGUAUCUUUCCGCUGUUUAAGUUCCUAAGGGAAGUGUCAUAGUAUAUUUACACUGGGGAUGUAUUGUUAUCUUUUGUACCAUUUUUACGAUUUAGAUUCUACAUUUCUUUUCUUUAGCUGAUCAGCUUAAUUUACCAAGGUCUAAGACAGUCGAAUCGAUUGGGUCACACACGUAAUCAGACACCAAAGACGUAUGACAAUGAUGCAUAUGGCUCCUUCUUUAGUAGAUUUAUGUGUUCAAAAAGCAAUAGAUAAUGUUAGAUUUCUUGGAGAUGUUGGUGAAACAGAGUUUCAUCUUCUUCAGCGAAUUUUGCCUCACUGUUCUCUUGAGCAGUUGAUACAUGUAGAGAAUUCAACACAAGGAAGAGAUCUUUGUCCAGUAACUAAUAAACUAAACUCUGGAAGAGAUUUUACAAGAUUCAGUUUGGUGAAAAAAGCACAAAUCAGGUUGUCCAAGACAUGAAGCUAAGGAAUGGAACAUUCAAAUGGAAACAAUUGUACGAGGCAAAGGUAGAGGAACUGGAAGAAACUCAACACAAGUUAUUCAAAAGAAUUGGGCAGUACUUAUACCUAAAGGAAGAUGGUAACUAAGCACUUCCUCAUAGCUGCAGCAACUAAGAAUAGGUGGUGUAGAUAUUGGGAAGAGGAGAUGGAGAGAGCAAUGGCAAGACAAAACUAGUGGCAAAAACGGAGUCAAGUUUUGAAGUUUAUAGGUCUGCCACCGAACCCAUUGCUCAUUUUAGUUACUAGGUUUGCAGUUAAAUAUUUUUAUAUAUUUGAUGAAUUUCAUAAUACAAAUAUAGAGUCUAAAUUCGUUCGAACCCGUACCUAAUAUUAUAGCUCUGCCCUGACUAGUGGUUGAAGAAAGUUUUAUUCAAAUAACUAUUGGACUGUAAAAUU